rnacentral:rRNA from 1 species
AUAAGUAUGUGAUUGCAGAAUUCAGUGAAUCAUCGAAUCUUUGAACGCACCUUGCGCUCCUUGGUAUUCCGAGGAGCAUGCCUGUUUGAGUGUCAUGGUAUUCUCAACUCUGACUUGUUUCUGACAAGUCGGUGUUGGAUGUGGAGGUCUGCUGGURCUUGCCAUCGGCUCCUCUGAAAUGCAUUAGUGUGGAUGUUUAUCCAGCAUUCCUUCAGUGUGAUAAUUGUCUACGCUGUGGGUGCUGGGUCUUGCAAAGUCUAUGCUUCGAACCGUCCCUCGGGACAACUUUUGACAUCUGACCUCAAAUCAGGUAGGACUACCCGCUGAACUUAAGCAUAUCAAUAAGCGGAGGAAAAGAAACUAACAAGGAUUCCCCUAGUAACUGCGAGUGAAGCGGGAAAAGCUCAAAUUUAAAAUCUGGCAGUCUUUGGCUGUCCGAGUUGUAGUCUGGAGAAGCGUUUUCCGUGCUGGACCGUGUACAAGUCUCUUGGAAUAGAGCGUCAUAGAGGGUGAGAAUCCCGUCUUUGACACGGACUACCAGUGCUUUGUGAUGCGCUCUCAAAGAGUCGAGUUGUUUGGGAAUGCAGCUCAAAAUGGGAGGUAAAUUCCUUCUAAAGCUAAAUAUUGGCGAGAGACCGAUAGCGAACAAGUACCGUGAGGGAAAGAUGAAAAGCACUUUGGAAAGAGAGUUAAACAGUACGUGAAAUUGCUAAAAGGGAAACGCUUGAAGUCAGUCGCGUUGCUCGGAACUCAGCCCGGCUUUUGCUUGGUGCAUUUUCCGAGUGACGGGCCAGCAUCAAUUUUGACCGCUGGAUAAAGGCCUAGGGAAUGUGGCAUCUUCGGAUGUGUUAUAGCCCUGGGUUGCAUACAGCGGUUGGGAUUGAGGAUCGCAGCAUGCCUUUACGGUCGGGGUUCGCCCACGUUCAUGCUUAGGAUGCUGGCGUAAUGGCUUUAAACGACCNGUCUUGAAACACGGACCAAGGAGUCUAACAUGCCUGCGAGUGUUUGGGUGGAAAACCCGAGCGCGUAAUGAAAGUGAUAGUUGGGAUCCCUGUCGUGGGGAGCACCGACGCCCGGACCAGACCUUCUGUGACGGAUCCGCGGUAGAGCAUGUAUGUUGGGACCCGAAAGAUGGUGAACUAUGCCUGAAUAGGGUGAAGCCAGAGGAAACUCUGGUGGAGGCUCGUAGCGAUUCUGACGUGCAAAUCGAUCGUCAAAUUUGGGUAUAGGGGCGAAAGACUAAUCGAACCAUCUAGUAGCUG